CAUAGAAGCAGAUGGUCUCUCCUCCUCCCUGACCGGACGCUUCGCCAAGCGAAUGCUCUCUCCUCCUCCCUGAGCGUUCGCCGAAUAGCACGGCGGCACCCCUCCUCCUCCCGGGUGCCGCCGUUCGCU
rnacentral:sRNA from 1 species